GAUGAACGCUAGCGGCAGGCUUAACACAUGCAAGUCGAGGGGCAGCAUGAUGAAACUUUCGGGUUUCAUUGAUGGCGACCGGCGCAAGGGUGCGUAACGCGUGAGCAACUUGCCCUUAUCAGGGGGAUAACCGGUGGAAACGCCGACUAAUACCCCAUAGCAUCAACUUUAGGCAUCUUUAGUUGAUUAAAGAACUUCGGAUAAGGAUAGGCUCGCGUGACAUUAGCUAGAUGGCGGGGUAACGGCCCACCAUGGCGACGAUGUCUAGGGGUUCUGAGAGGAAGGUCCCCCACACUGGAACUGAGACACGGUCCAGACUCCUACGGGAGGCAGCAGUGAGGAAUAUUGGUCAAUGGCCGAGAGGCUGAACCAGCCAUGCCGCGUGAAGGUCACGGCCCUAUGGGUCUUAAACCUCUUUUGUAAGGGAGCAAUAAGGUUCACGUGUGGACUGAUGAGAGUACCUUACGAAUAAGCAUCGGCUAACUCCGUGCCAGCCGCCGCGGUAAGAC
rnacentral:rRNA from 1 species